CGUGCCUAACACAUGCAAGUCGAACGAGAACGUUUCCUUCGGGAAGCUAGUAAAGUGGCAGACGGGUGAGUAACACGUGGACAACCUACCCUCGAGUGGGGAAUAACCCUGCGAAAGCGGGGCUAAUGCCGCAUAACACUUCUUUUUCUCUGAAUUUGAAAAUCAAAGAUGGCCUCUGAUUCAAGCUGUCGCUUGAGGACGGGUCCGCGCACCAUUAGCUUGUUGGCGGGGUAAUGGCCCACCAAGGCAACGAUGGUUAGCCGGCCUGAGAGGGUGAACGGCCACACUGGAACUGAGACACGGUCCAGACUCCUACGGGAGGCAGCAGUGGGGAAUUUUUCGCAAUGGGCGAAAGCCUGACGAAGCAACGCCGCGUGAGUGAUGAAGGCCUUCGGGUCGUAAAGCUCUGUCGAUUGGUAUGAAACUUAUGGCAGCUAAUACCUGUCGUAACUGACAGUACCAGUUGAGAAAGCCCCGGCUAACUCCGUG
rnacentral:rRNA from 1 species